rnacentral:rRNA from 1 species
UACAGAGGGGGCAAGCGUUGUUCGGAAUUACUGGGCGUAAAGGGCGCGUAGGCGGCCGCCUAAGUCAGACGUGAAAUCCCUCGGCUCAACCGGGGAACUGCGUCCGAUACUGGAGGGCUUGAAUUCGGGAGAGGGAUGCAGAAUUCCAGGUGUAGCGGUGAAAUGCGUAGAUAUCUGGAGGAAUACCGGUGGCGAAGGCGGCAUCCUGGACCGAGAUUGACGCUGAGGAGCGAAAGCUAGGGGAGCAAACGGG